GUGAGGAAUUUUCCGCAAUGGGCGAAAGCCUGACGGAGCAAUGCCGCGUGAAGGAUGAAGGCCUAUGGGUUGUAAACUUCUUUUCUCAGAAAAGAAUUAUGACGGUAUCUGAGGAAUAAGCAUCGGCUAACUCUGUGCCAGCAGCCGCGGUAAGACAGAGGAUGCAAGCGUUAUCCGGAAUGAUUUGGCGUAAAGCGUCUGUAGGUUGUUUAAAAAGUAUUCUGUCAAAGAUUAGGGCUUAACCCUAGAUAGGCAGAAUAAACUUUUAAGCUAGAGUUUGAUAGAGGCAGAGGGAAUUCCCGGUGGAGCGGUGAAAUGCGUAGAUAUCGGGAGGAACACCAAAGGCGAAGGCACUCUGCUGGGCCAAUACUAACACUGAGAGACGAAAGCGAGGGGAGCAAAUGGGAUUAGAAACCCCUGUAGUCC
rnacentral:rRNA from 1 species